ensembl:lncRNA
GAAAGUUGCAGAUCUUUAAGGAGGUUCUAUUGUUUGUCAUAGCUUCCAAACGGUCGCACCGAGGAGCAGCUCCGCUCAUUUUUUCCACUUUCACCUCUGGCAACGGCAAUCGCUUAACGAAACAAAGAGCAGGAGCUUCUGGAUACUUACAAACCAGUGGGAUUAUAUUUUCUUUUAGAUAAAACAGGCAUUUUUCAAUAUUUUUACGACUUCCUCAACGCUACGCGAGGAGGCCUGCCAAACAAGAUAAGCCUGAGCCUGUGCUACAGUGCUAAAGGUAAUUAGCAGAAAAUGCCUCCCUUCUCUACGGAAGAUUACCACAAACUCCUACAGAAGAUUUUACUGCCGGAAACAAAAGUGAAUCGGUUAGAAGUAAAUGUAGAAGCAAAUGGACCAUGUGGGAACAACACCACUCUAGCAAUGACUCAAAACAGUGGACAAGAGCAUGCUAGAACCCAGCUAACUAGCAAUGAUGGAACUAUGAAGAAACUGGAGGACUCUGUGCAGGGUAAUAAAUCUACCAGCGAUAAUCCUCCCUGGACCACACUUGGUGCAAAGCCAAAGAGAAGACCAGACAAGGGAGAACGGAUAACUGGCAGGACCCAGCGGCCCGAUAUCUGUGAUCUGGCCGACUGGCCUGCGUUACCAUCCAGGCAUAACGCCUCCUCAACCCCCGUUCUUCGUAGAACAAAGCAGCGGACAACUGAGAAGAGGGGAACUACCAAGGAACCUCCCCAGCAAACAGGUGUAAAACUACAAAACAGGUUUGCUCCACUGUUGCAGGACCAUGGAUCCCCCUCUAAAUUUCUGGAUAACCCUCCACCACCACGCAGCAAGGACACGAGACCAGAAGAGGAGCCCACAAAGAAGGAAGAGAAAACACAGCUUAUCAGAAACGUGGAAGGAGGACCGCCAUUGCCAUCCCCCUCUAACCCUCCUGCCAUUACGUGUGAGGAUCCCUCUCCCACCCCCCCCAGAGCCCCCAUCCAGAUUGACCUCAGCGCCCUCCCCCCCAGCGUCCACCUGCACCAGCUCAUCUCAGCGGUGACGCCAUCUUACGCCGAUCUGCCCCCCCACCUCUACGAAGACGUUCUCCACCUCCACCUCCACAAAUCCAUCCCAGCUGUGACGCUGCUCACUCCCCCCCCUUAGGCCCACCCCCUCCUCCUCCUGACAGCAGCCCUGAAUAUUACUCAGAUAGUAGACCGCAUUAUCAGCUGGACCAUCAAAUUUAGCUUAUCAAAGUCAACCCCAAAGCCUGUGAAUAACACCAUCAGGAUGGCUCUGCUUAAUGUUAGGUCUAACAAAUCGUUUUUAGUCAAUGAUUUUAUUACCACUUCUAAACUUAAUUUAAUUUUUUUAACUGAAACAUGGCUAGAACAAAAUAACAGUGCAAGCAUUCUGAUUGAGGCAGCACCCCCCAACUAUAACUUUAUUGAUGUAUGUAGAUCUGGAAAAAGAGGUGGAGGUGUUGCUGCUAUAUUUAAAAAUAUAUUUCAGGGGAAACAGAUGUCACUUAGUGAUUUUCCAUCAUUCGAAUAUCUUUGUGUUGUAUUGAAAUGUUCUCCCAGAGUUCUCCUGGUAAUUAUUUACAGGCCACCUAAAUAUUCUGCACAUUCUUUCGAUGAUUUUACUGAAUUAUUGUCUAGCAUCUCUACCGACUUUGACUGUCUAGUGUAGGAUAUUAGAAACAAAUAGACUUGCCGGUUCAUAAAAUUAAUUAAAAUGCAUAUAGUGUACACCAGAAUACAGCCAUGAUUCUGAAACUGUGUAAUCAAUAAAGUAUUGACAAUAUUGUAAAACCACUGUAAUUCUGCAGCUGUACUAGAAUAAUACCAAUGCAGUUAUGAUUGUAUUUGAUGUAAUGUAAUCAACUGGAAUGCAUGCAUGUAAUACUUGCACAACAACUGAUAUUGACUAAGGAUCAUUCGAAAUCCGAGUUACAUUGAACUCACCAGAAGACCACUCACAGAGGUGUGGACACUGACUUUCACACCUUUAAGCAUUGUUAUAAAUACCUGUAGGAACCAUUGUUCUGGAGUUCACUGGUGGAGGCGACAGACGGGCACUAGGGAUGGUCAAAGGACUGACCUGGGGCCUGUUGGUCGCUGAGACCAGCGGCUCCUCAGCUGAGAUGUUCUUUUUACCGCAACGCCAUCUCCUUUAUUAAAUACAUUUGAUUUUAACCUUUUGAUCAGCGAUGACCUCUGUCCGUCCGGCGUUUCAUCAUUUUUGAACACAACACUAGUUAUAACUGGUGACUUUAAUUUUCAUACUGACGAUUUGAAUGACAAGGGUGCAAAAGAACUUUUGACUAUUUUAGACACAUUUGAACUGUCUCAACAUGUGAAAGAGGCUACUCAUUGUAAGGGACACACCCUGGACCUGAUUAUCAC